GGAACAUGUCCUGUAGUGGGGGAUAGCCCGGCGAAAGCCGGAUUAAUACCGCAUACGAUCUGAGGAUGAAAGCGGGGGACCUUCGGGCCUCGCGCUAUAGGGUUGGCCGAUGGCUGAUUAGCUAGUUGGUGGGGUAAAGGCCUACCAAGGCGACGACCAGUAGCUGGUCUGAGAGGACGACCAGCCACACUGGGACUGAGACACGGCCCAGACUCCUACGGGAGGCAGCAGUGGGGAAUUUUGGACAAUGGGCGAAAGCCUGAUCCAGCAAUGCCGCGUGUGUGAAGAAGGCCUUCGGGUUGUAAAGCACUUUUGUCCGGAAAGAAAUCCUUGGUUCUAAUAUAGCCGGGGGANGACGGUACCGGAAGAAUAAGCACCGGCUAACUACGUGCCAGCAGCCGCGGUAAUACAUAGGGUGCAAGCGUUAAUCGGAAUUACUGGGCGUAAAGCGUGCGCAGGCGGUUUGCUAAGACCGAUGUGAAAUCCCCGGGCUCAACCUGGGAACUGCAUUGGUGNCUGGCA
rnacentral:rRNA from 1 species